CAAUAGCGUAUAUUAAAGUUGUUGCGGUUAAAAAGCUCGUAGUUGGAUUUCGGGAUGUGUUUGGUCUGGUCCGCCUUGAUGGUGUGUACUGGCCGAGCCAUUCUUACCUACUGGAUAUCCGCCUUUGCUCUUCAGUGAGUGGGGGUCAGGUUUCGGCCGGGGUUCCAGUUCGUUUACUUUGAAAAAAUUAGAGUGUUCAAAGCAGGCGUUUGCGCCUUGAAUACAUUAGCAUGGGAUAAUAGAAUAGGACUUUGUUUCUAUUUUGUUGGUUUCUAGGGACAAAGUAAUGAUUAAUAGGGACAGUUGGGGGCAUUCGUAUUUCAUUGUCAGAGGUGAAAUUCUUGGAUUUAUGGAAGACGAACUUCUGCGAAAGCAUUUGUCAAGGAUGUUUUCAUUAA
rnacentral:rRNA from 1 species